CCUACGGGUGGCAGCAGUAGGGAAUCUUUCACAAUGGGCGAAAGCCUGAUGGAGCAACGCCGCGUGCAGGAUGAAGGCCUUCGGGUUGUAAACUGCUUUUAUAAGCGAGAAAUAUGAUGGUAACUUAUGAAUUAGGAUUGGCGCACUACGUUCCAGCCGCCGCGGUCCUACGUAGGAUCCGAGCAUUAUCCGGAGUGACUGGGGGUAAAGAGUUGCGUAGGUGGCAUAAUAAGUAGCUAGUGAAAUCGGGUGGCUCAACCAUUCAGACUAUUAGCUAAACUGUUGAGCUCGAGACCGUUAGGGGUAACUGGAAUUUCUAGUGUAGGAGUGAAAUCCGUAGAUAUUAGAAGGAACACCGAUAGCGUAGGCAGGUUACUGGGACGGAUCUGACACUAAGGCACGAAAGCGUAGGGAGCAAACGGGAUUAGAUACCCGGGUAGUC
rnacentral:rRNA from 1 species